rnacentral:tRNA from 1 species
CUGGAUCACCUCCUUUUAGGGAGACCUAAUCCAUUUAGAAAUCGAAAACAAUGAAAAUUGUCAAUAGAAACUAAAGUGGUCUAACCUAGGUCGGUCGCAGACUUGAAGUAAAGCUUUCAAACUAUGAUUUGGUUCGAUAAGGGCUAUUAGCUCAGGUGGUUAGAGCGCACCCCUGAUAAGGGUGGGGUCCCUGGUUCGAGUCCAGGAUGGCCCACCUGAAGGAAUUCAAAAAUCAAAAGUCAAAAGUCAAAAUUAAAUAUUUUUGAAGCAUGACUAGAAAUUUUGAGUUCUUUUUGGGGGUUUAGCUCAGUUGGUAGAGCGCCUGCUUUGCAAGCAGGAUGUCAGCGGUUCGAGUCCGCUAACCUCCACAUUGGAAAAAAGACAGCACCUAAUUGUCAAAGUUAGACUGCUGGAUGAAGUUC